GGAGACGCUGGAAAUCCUGCUGGGAAUCCAGAGAAGAUGUUUCCUGAUGCAUCAGGGGGACAACUGAGGACGGGACACAGCAUAAAGAGACAGAGAUCAUGUGAAAUUCAAGGAUGGCCUUUCAACCCUGGAUGUCAUUUAUGCUUCGGAGCUUCAUGCUUCUGUGUUCAGGCCCUUUAUGUGCACAAGGGUGGAAAAGCUGACAUCAGAAAUGUUAGAGGAAAUCUGUGAAGUUCAGCUCAGCGAAAAGGACAGCACCAGACGACAAGAAGAAACCAGACUGCUAGGAUUUUCCUUGAGACAGACCAAACCUCGCUUUCCUGUUCAAACACUGUCAAGAUACCAAAGCCCAAAACAAAUGAUCAAUUCCAAAAAACAUGGACUUUGGGAUAAAAACUCUUUGGACUUUAUUAAGUUCAAAUA